CAUACGCAGUCCUAACCCUUGCACGGCUCUCCACUUCAACCACAGCACCAACGUGGUGCUCCAGGGCCUAAAAGGUGUGGCGUUCCUGGCACAAAAGUCCUUUUCAUCUUGGCCACUCAUCCGUUAUUUGAUUGCCAACUUUUGUCGGCGUUCCCAAGUCACGCCAACGCUAUCUCCAAGGGUUUGUCAGCGCAAAACAAAAUAUACUACAUCCACAGUGGCUAAUUAGGAGGAUGAUAUCCACGGUUGAAGCGACGACGUUGGAGAGACGGUACAACAAAAAUAUACUACGUUCACAGUGGCUAAUUAGGAGGAUGAUAUCCACGGUUGAAGCGACGACGUUGGAGAAAAGGUA